UGGCGACCGGCGCACGGGUGAGUAACACGUAUCCAACCUGCCGAUAACUCGGGGAUAGCCUUUCGAAAGAAAGAUUAAUAUCCGAUAGGAUAUCAAGAUCGCAUGAUCUUGAUAUUAAAGAAUUUCGGUUAUCGAUGGGGAUGCGUUCCAUUAGUUAGUUGGCGGGGUAACGGCCCACCAAGACGACGAUGGAUAGGGGUUCUGAGAGGAAGGUCCCUCACAUUGGAACUGAGACACGGUCCAAACUCCUACGGAAGGCAGCAG
rnacentral:rRNA from 1 species